UUGGCAGUGAGGAAUGAUGAAGAGUUGGGGAAAUUGCUGAGUGGAGUUACCAUUGCAAGUGGAGGUGUUCUUCCUAACAUUAACCCAGUCUUGUUGCCUAAGAAAACUGCUGCAGUCGAGGAGAAGGCAUCUAAACCCAAGGCCACUAAGUCACCAAAGAAGGCCUAGGACUAUCUAUUAGAAAUGAUCUUUUCGUUAAACAUGGUGAACCAGUCUUUUGUCUAAUUUAUUGGUACUACUUCUUGUAGUAGGACGUAGAUUAUUAGUUUUCUAAUUUUGGUGUAGUGGUGCUUGGAAAUAUAAUAGAAAGCAACUCUUUUUCCUAUUUCUUUUUGCUACUUUUUUUGAAAGGUUUUUCUAAUUAUGGGACUUGUUGUUAUGUUUUGUUUCUUGUGUCCAUACUGUGCAUUGAUAUAGUGGUAUAAAGAAAAGUUGAAACCUAUAGAAAAAGUUAGAAUC
rnacentral:lncRNA from 1 species